UCCUACGGGAGGCAGCAGUGAGGAAUAUUGGUCAAUGGGCGCAAGCCUGAACCAGCCAUGCCGCGUGCAGGAUGACGGUCCUAUGGAUUGUAAACUGCUUUUGUACGAGAAGAAACACUCCUUCGUGAAGGAGCUUGACGGUAUCGUAAGAAUAAGGAUCGGCUAACUCCGUGC
rnacentral:rRNA from 1 species